UACGAAGGGGGCUAGCGUUGCUCGGAAUCACUGGGCGUAAAGCGCACGUAGGCGGAUCUUUAAGUCAGGGGUGAAAUCCUGGAGCUCAACUCCAGAACUGCCUUUGAUACUGGGGAUCUCGAGUCCGGAAGAGGUGAGUGGAACUCCGAGUGUAGAGGUGAGAUUCGUAGAUAUUCGGAAGAACACCAGUGGCGAAGGCGGCUCACUGGUCCGGUACUGACGCUCAUGCACGAAAGCGUGGGGAGCAAACAGG
rnacentral:rRNA from 1 species